ACAGAGGAUGCAAACGUUGCUCGGAAUUACUGGGCGUAAAGGGCGCGUAGGCGGGAUGGCAAGUCGGUCGUGAAAGACCUCGGCUCAACUGAGGAGCGUCGAUCGAUACUGCCGUUCUUGAGGAUUGCAGAGGAGACUGGAAUUCCCGGUGUAGCGGUGAAAUGCGUAGAUAUUGGGAGGAACACCAGUGGCGAAGGCGGCUCACUGGACCGGAACUGACGCUGAUGCGCGAAAGCGUGGGGAGCAAACGGGA
rnacentral:rRNA from 1 species